AUCAACUAUAAGCAAGCCUAUAACUCUCAGAAGCAUUAGCAUAGAGAAGAAAAUGUCUUCCUAGCUUGUGCUUUAAAGGGAAAUCCAAAUGUCUGUUACACAACUGGUGGCAACAUACACCACCGUUGGGCACAAUAGCUGCAAGUUUAUCUCAAUGAUCUAAGAGCUAAACAAUGAGCAUACUCCUAACAAGUGAAUAAGUAGCCUAGACAUGCAUAAUGGCGCAAAUUUCCCAAAUGUUAAUGGAUGAGUCUUUUUCUCCUGGGGAUAAAAUCAAAUGGAUGACCCAAAUAUAAGAUGGUGUUGGUUCAAAUUCCAUCAGAAGAACAAAAUGUUAUGUGAUAUUUUCCUCAAAAAAAUUGAGUUUCUAAUCUAUUCAACCAGCUAGAUUGAAGUCAUCAAAAGUAUCCACCAAUCCCUG
rnacentral:misc_RNA from 1 species